rnacentral:rRNA from 1 species
GACGAACGCUGGCGGCGUGCUUAACACAUGCAAGUCGAACGGAAAGGCCCUGCUUUCGUGGGGUGCUCGAGUGGCGAACGGGUGAGUAACACGUGAGUAACCUGCCCUUGACUUUGGGAUAACUUCAGGAAACUGGGGCUAAUACCGGAUAGGAGCUCCUGCUGCAUGGUGGGGGUUGGAAAGUUUCGGCGGUUGGGGAUGGACUCGCGGCUUAUCAGCUUGUUGGUGGGGUAGUGGCUUACCAAGGCUUUGACGGGUCGCCGGCCUGAGAGGGUGACCGGCCACAUUGGGACUGAGAUACGGCCCAGACUCCUACGGGAGGCAGCAGUGGGGAAUAUUGCACAGUGGGCGGAAGCCUGAUGCAGCAACGCCGCGUGCGGGAUGACGGCCUUCGGGUUGUAAACCGCUUUCGCCUGUGACGAAGCGUGAGUGACGGUAAUGGGUAAAGAAGCACCGGCUAACUACGUG